CCAAAGCUGGCGACCGGCGCACGGGUGAGUAACACGUAUCCAACCUGCCUCAUACUCGGGGAUAGCCUUUCGAAAGAAAGAUUAAUAUCCGAUAGCAUAUAUUUCCCGCAUGGGUUUUAUAUUAAAGAAAUUCGGUAUGAGAUGGGGAUGCGUUCCAUUAGUUUGUUGGGGGGCAACGGCCCACCAAGACUACGAUGGAUAGGGGUUCUGAGAGGAAGGUCCCCCACAUUGGAACUGAGACACGGUCCAA
rnacentral:rRNA from 1 species